CAAGGUUGAAUGAUGAUCACAAGUGCAUAGUUCAUAUGAUCAAAUAAUGAUUACUUGAACAAAAAUAGUCUUUCGCUCCUAUCUGACGACCUUU
rfam:Triticum urartu cultivar G1812 contig360128, whole genome shotgun sequence.